rnacentral:tRNA from 1 species
GCCUGGUUAGCUCAGCUGGUUAGAGCGUCGUACUAAUAUCUUAAUCUUGAGAUAUCAAGUAAUGCGAAGGUCAACAGUUCAAUCCUGUUACUGGGCA